UACGAAGGACCCGAGCGUUAUCCGGAUUUAUUGGGUUUAAAGGGUGCGUAGGCGUCCUGGAAAGUUACGGUUGAAAUCUCCUUGCUCAACAAGGAAACUGGCCGUAAAACUAUCAGGAUUGAGUACAUUUGAAGCGGGCGGAAUGUGUCAUGUAGCGGUGAAAUGCUUAGAUAUGACACAGAACACCGAUUGCGAAGGCAGCUCGCUAAACUGUAACUGACGCUGAGGCACGAAAGCGUGGGGAUCAAACAG
rnacentral:rRNA from 1 species